UUAACUUAUUUGCUUGUUUUCUCAGAGAGGCCACUAGAAUACAGAAUAGUUUUUGGCGCUCCGGCGGGCAGCACCCGAGGGUGCCAGCGUCCCCAGGGAGGGGACGCCCGCCGAGGCAACACGAUACGGGUAACGUUCACAAUGGUUUGGGAGUCUUUUUAGAACUCUGUAAUGAUCCCUCCGCUGGUUCACCAACGGAGA
rnacentral:misc_RNA from 1 species